ACUCAAAUGAAUAGACGGGGGCCCGCACAAGCGGUGGAACAUGUGGUUUAAUUCGAUGCUACGCGAAAAACCUUACCUGGACUUGACAUCCCGCGCCAUCUCAAGAAAUUGAGAGUUCCCUUCGGGGACGCGGAGACAGGUGCUGCAUGGCUGUCGUCAGCUCGUGUUGUGAGAUGUUGGGUUAAGUCCCGCAACGAGCGCAACCCUCGUCCUUAGUUACCAUCAUUAAGUUGGGCACUCUAAGGAGACCGCUUGGCUAUAAGCCAGAGGAAGGUGGGGAUGACGUCAAGUCCUCAUGGCCUUUAUGUCCAGGGCAACACACGUGUUACAAUGGAAGUCACAAAGCGCUCCGAGUCGGCAACGGCAAGGAAAUCGCAAAAAGUCUUCCUCAGUACGGAUUGGAGUCUGCAACUCGACUCCAUGAAGCUGGAAUCGCUAGUAAUCGUCGAUCAGCACGCGACGGUGAAUACGUUCCCGGGCCUUGCACACACCGCCCGU
rnacentral:rRNA from 1 species